ACGCGUGAGAAUCUGGCUUCAGGUCUGGGACAACAGUUGGAAACGACUGCUAAUACCGGAUGUGCCGAGAGGUGAAAGGCUUGCUGCCUGAAGAUGAGCUUGCGUCUGAUUAGCUAGUUGGUGGGGUAAGAGCCUACCAAGGCGACGAUCAGUAGCUGGUCUGAGAGGAUGAUCAGCCACACUGGGACUGAGACACGGCCCAGACUCCUACGGGAGGCAGCAGUGGGGAAUUUUCCGCAAUGGGCGAAAGCCUGACGGAGCAAUACCGCGUGAGGGAGGAAGGCUCUUGGGUUGUAAACCUCUUUUCUCAGGGAAGAAAAAAAUGACGGUACCUGAGGAAUAAGCAUCGGCUAACUCCGUGCCAGCAGCCGCGGUAAUACGGAGGAUGCAAGCGUUAUCCGGAAUGAUUGGGCGUAAAGGGUCCGCAGGUGGCUAUGUAAGUCUGCUGUUAAAUAGUCAUGCUCAACAUGAUCAAGGCAGUGGAAACUACAAGGCUAGAGUGCGUUCGGGGCAGAGGGAAUUCCUGGUGUAGCGGUGAAAUGCGUAGAUAUCAGGAAGAACACCGGUGGCGAAAGCGCUCUGCUAGGCCGCAACUGACACUGAGGGACGAAAGCUAGGGGAGCGAAUGGGAUUAGAUACCCC
rnacentral:rRNA from 1 species